UGCCUAUAAAAUGGUUAUAAUUUUAAAGAAAAGCAGAUAUUCUGCUUGAAUUUUAGGUAAAAGUAACAUGCUAUAUUUUAUAAUUUUGCUAUUCUUCUUGAAGCACUCUGUAGAUCAUUAGUAGGGCACAAGGUAGUGAGGCAUUGAAAAAGUAUCUGAAAUAAGCAUCCUUUUGGUAAAAGAACUAAAGGAAGGGAGUUAAGUUCAUUUAGAUUACCAAGUGUUGAUUCAAAGAAAGGAAGGAAAUUAAGGCUAACUAUCAAGUUGCUCAACAUAUACCCUCAGUUUCUAUUAAGCUUAAAAUCUCAGAGCAACAUCAGGCUCAUUCCAAAAUUUUAUUCAUAUGAUUCUGCCUACAUGAGAUUAUCUUGCUUCAUCUGAAUCCUACCUGUCUCUAAUGUCUAUUUCAAGUAUUAUGAAACUUUCCCAAACAGCCCAGUCAAUAUUUAUCAGUCUUCUUUGCCAGUUGGCUGAUGGCAAUAGAUAAGUACAGGGGCACUUGUCAACACCAUUCAUUUUAGUGCUUAGAAACAUGUUGCUCAGCAUAUUCAUUUAGCAGUUUUAUAUAUGUAAGCCUUAUCAUCAGUGAAACAAUCAACAGGUAUUUCUUAAUCAUUUACUAUUUUUCCAGGUGUUGUGUUAAACACUGGUGAAACAAAGUAAAAGCCAAGAAGGUCCUUCUUUUCAAGGAGAUAAUAUUCUAACCGGGAGGAGACAAUCACCUCUUGUAAUAAAUCUCCAAAUUAAAACUCCUGGGAAUAUUAUAACCCAGUUGAAGAGCUUCCAGACCAAAGAGAAAAACUGCAAGCAGUUAGAAAGAAACAAUUCAAGUGUCAUGUUGCUUCAGUCAAAAUUACACAAGAUGUGGAAGCUCCCACACUAAAGAAGCAGAAGGCUUGGAAUACGAUAGGCAAAGGGAUCGGUUAUGAACAAGAAUCAUUUACCCAUCAAAACUGACUGACUAUAUUCUUUCAGGGGAAAGUACAGUCAUUUAACAAAAUAGAAGGUUUCCAAACAUUCCUGAAGGAAAGACCAUUGUUUAAAAUGAAAAUCUGGGGUACAAAUACAAAAUUCAAGAGAAGCAUAAAAACAUAAAGAAGAAAUAGAAAAAAAUAAGGACUUCAAUAAGGUUAAUUUGUUUAUAUUUAUAUAUGGAAAGAUCAUAUUUCUAAGAAAGAGAGGACUUAAACAAUGAUCUUAUAGGAAAAAAGGAAAUUGUGAAAAAAGUAAAAAAUAAUCUUCUAAAGGAAAGAGCAAAACAAAAAAGAACAGGACCUGAUUGAUUUAUUGGGAAAGCUUGGUGGCACAGGGGAUAGGGCCGCUUGGAAGCGGAAAGAUCUAGCUUUAUGAGUUCAAAUACAGUCUUAGACACUUACUAGAUUUGUGUCUAUGAAAAAUCACUUAACCUUGCUCAUUUCUAAAAUGAGUUGGAGAAAGAAAUGGAAAAUCACUCUACAUCUUUGCCAAGAAAAAGUCAAAUAGUCACAAAGAGUCUGACAAGACUGAAAGGAUUUAACAAAUACAAAGACAGAUUCAUAAAGAAAUUCUAUUAAACAAUUAACAAAUUCAUUCCAUUAUGGUAGAAGUGGUUUGGGAAUCAUAGGAAAAGAAGGAUUACUACCAUAUUUUCUUUUAUGAUACAAAUAUGGUCUUGAUACCUGAAUCAGAGAGACUCUAAAGACAGAAUAAAACUAUAGACCGAUAUUCCA
rnacentral:lncRNA from 1 species